rnacentral:sRNA from 1 species
AUGUACUUUCAAGUACAUUCCGGUUCCUGUGCUCCGGGCGCGCCCGGCUGACGCCCGCUCGCUACGAUUUCUAGAG